GAUGAACGCUGGCGGCGUGCCUAAUACAUGCAAGUCGAACGAGUUCUCGUUGAUGAUCGGUGCUUGCACCGAGAUUCAACAUGGAACGAGUGGCGGACGGGUGAGUAACACGUGGGUAACCUGCCCUUAAGUGGGGGAUAACAUUUGGAAGCAGAUGCUAAUACCGCAUAGAUCCAAGAACCGCAUGGUUCUUGGCUGAAAGAUGGCGUAAGCUAUCGCUUUUGGAUGGACCCGCGGCGUAUUAGCUAGUUGGUGAGGUAAUGGCUCACCAAGGCGAUGAUACGUAGCCGAACUGAGAGGUUGAUCGGCCACAUUGGGACUGAGACACGGCCCAAACUCCUACGGGAGGCAGCAGUAGGGAAUCUUCCACAAUGGACGCAAGUCUGAUGGAGCAACGCCGCGUGAGUGAAGAAGGCUUUCGGGUCGUAAAACUCUGUUGUUGGAGAAGAAUGGUCGGCAGAGUAACUGUUGUCGGCGUGACGGUAUCCAACCAGAAAGCCACGGCUAACUACGUGCCAGCAGCCGCGGUAAUACGUAGGUGGCAAGCGUUAUCCGGAUUUAUUGGGCGUAAAGCGAGCGCAGGCGGUUUUUUAAGUCUGAUGUGAAAGCCCUCGGCUUAACCGAGGAAGCGCAUCGGAAACUGGGAAACUUGAGUGCAGAAGAGGACAGUGGAACUCCAUGUGUAGCGGUGAAAUGCGUAGAUAUAUGGAAGAACACCAGUGGCGAAGGCGGCUGUCUGGUCUGUAACUGACGCUGAGGCUCGAAAGCAUGGGUAGCGAACAGGAUUAGAUACCCUGGUAGUCCAUGCCGUAAACGAUGAAUGCUAGGUGUUGGAGGGUUUCCGCCCUUCAGUGCCGCAGCUAACGCAUUAAGCAUUCCGCCUGGGGAGUACGACCGCAAGGUUGAAACUCAAAGGAAUUGACGGGGGCCCGCACAAGCGGUGGAGCAUGUGGUUUAAUUCGAAGCAACGCGAAGAACCUUACCAGGUCUUGACAUCUUUUGAUCACCUGAGAGAUCAGGUUUCCCCUUCGGGGGCAAAAUGACAGGUGGUGCAUGGUUGUCGUCAGCUCGUGUCGUGAGAUGUUGGGUUAAGUCCCGCAACGAGCGCAACCCUUAUGACUAGUUGCCAGCAUUUAGUUGGGCACUCUAGUAAGACUGCCGGUGACAAACCGGAGGAAGGUGGGGAUGACGUCAAAUCAUCAUGCCCCUUAUGACCUGGGCUACACACGUGCUACAAUGGAUGGUACAACGAGUUGCGAGACCGCGAGGUCAAGCUAAUCUCUUAAAGCCAUUCUCAGUUCGGACUGUAGGCUGCAACUCGCCUACACGAAGUCGGAAUCGCUAGUAAUCGCGGAUCAGCACGCCGCGGUGAAUACGUUCCCGGGCCUUGUACACACCGCCCGUCACACCAUGAGAGUUUGUAACACCCGAAGCCGGUGGCGUAACCCUUUUAGGGAGCGAGCCGUCUAAGGUGGGACAAAUGAUUAGGGUG
rnacentral:rRNA from 2 species